rnacentral:rRNA from 1 species
UACAGAGGUCCCGAGCGUUGUUCGGAUUCACUGGGCGUAAAGGGUGCGUAGGUGGCCUGAAAAGUUUGAUGUGAAAGCUCAGGGCUUAACCCUGAAAUGGCAUUGAAUACUGUCGGGCUGGAGGUUUGGAGGGGACUGGAAUUCUUGGUGUAGCAGUGAAAUGCGUAGAUAUCAAGAGGAACACCAGUGGCGAAGGCGAGUCCCUGGACAACACCUGACACUGAGGCACGAAAGCUAGGGGAGCAAACGGG